UUUAGAACGCAACUCAUUGCCCUUGAUGAUCACCUGCCAUCUUUGUAGGAAGUAGAAUUUUAUAAAAGUAGACAAAUAAUGACUUAGAAGGCAACAGGUUUUAGACAUCUUGCCUUAGUUUUUAAAUACUGCACCCAAACCAAAGACCCGGCUUGACUCCUGUUUAACAUCAGAGUUGCUCUCUAAAUAGUCUUUAAAAUGGGAUUUUGAUGUUAAUUCUGUAGUAUCCACCCUCCCAACAAGCUACUGUGCCUAUAUAAUAAACCACUUUCUUAAAAGAAUAAAAACCAAAACAAACAAACAAACAAACAAAACCCUCCUUGUUUUAAGAAAAGGCCAUCUCAGACAACAGACCCCUGCAACAUCAGGCAGUUUAAAUUAAGGAGAAUAUUUAGUGUGGGGAUCCUGUUCUGUGGAAAAUUUGUCCAUUCUCAGUGCUGAGAAUGAAAGCAAGUAGUAGCCACUUUCCUCCAGACUGCUGGAUUCCUCUUAUGAAGUGAACAUGUUAUUGGCACCCUCACGUGGCAUAACUAUGAAAUCUGUUUCACUGAAAAUCUGAGCAAUUAAAGUAUCUUUUUUUUUUUCAAAAGACAACCAAAACUCAAAUUACCAUUCUCUAUGCUAUAUCUUUUUCCAUGUAUCUUUACAAAUGGCCUUUGUUUUUAGAGCUAAUGUUUGUUGAAUGAAAUGACUUCAGGCAAGUCUUUUUUUAUAAUCAUUUUUCAAGUGCCAUUUGUGUGUGCGUGUGUGUUCUGUGUUUGUAAGUAUGAACAAAUUAUUUCCUAAAACAUGCCAAAUGGAUAGAAGUAGAAAACAAUGUUUAGAAAUGUGUCCAUAAAACUGUCAAGCCAACUGGGCACAACUUAAAAGAAACUUACAGUGUACUCUUAUAUCUUUAUACAUGUUUCCAAAAAUAAGAUUUUUGCAACUGGAUGAUGCAAGGGUUUACUUGAACAAUGAAGGACCGAGAUCAUGACCGUAGGAGGUAUUAUUUCUUGUCUGUGAUUUUUGCAGAGGUUCCCCUUCAAUGUUAGUGAUCUUAAACAUUAAAAUGCAAUUGUUAAGAUUUGGUUGCUUGAUGUAAAGAUACAAUUUGUCUGUACUGUACUUUCUUCAUAGGAUUGUAAGGGUGUUCUAAUCACUUUGCAUGUCAUAAAUCUUUUAGAUAUGUAUGUGGGUUAAAUGUAUGAAGUUUGGAUUAAAGCGUUGACCUC
rnacentral:lncRNA from 1 species